CGCCUGUUUAUCAAAAACAUGGCUCCAUGUUAUUGUUUUAUAUGGAGUCUGACCUGCUCGGUGAAUAUAUUUUUAACAGCCGCGGUACUCUGACCGUGCAAAGGUAGCAUAAUCAUUUGCCUUAUAAUUGAAGGCUAGUAUGAAUGGUUUGACGAGAAUUAAGCUGUCUCUUUUCAAUUAAAUAUAAUUUUAUUAACAGGUGAAGAAGCCUGUGUGUUAUUGAAAGACAAGAAGACCCUAUCGAGCUUUAAGAAAUUCAAUAGAUUUAUUAUAUAUUUAUAUAAAUAUAAAACUAUUGAAAACUUUGGUUGGGGCGACUGAGGAACAAAAAAAGCUUCCUUUAUAUCUUUAGAACCUACAAGUAUUGAUCCAAUAAAUUUGAUUAAAGGAAUUAGUUACCGUAGGGAUAACAGCAUAAUCUUCUUUGAGAGUUCUUAUCGAAAAGGAGGUUUGUGACCUCGAUGUUGGACCAGAAUACCCAGAAGAUGCAGCCGUCUUCAAUGGUUGGUCUGUUCGACCAUUAAAAUUCUACGUGAUCUGAGUUCAGA
rnacentral:rRNA from 1 species